CAAUAGCGUAUAUUAAAGUUGUUGCAGUUAAAAAGCUCGUAGUUGGAUUUCUGGUCGGAAGCUCCUGUCCUCUGAUGAGCGUACAAGUGCGUCCUACCAUCCUUCUGUUAACCUUUAAGGCUUUCGCGGCUUUCUAGGGGCUCAGAUAUUUUACCUUGAGAAAAUUAGAGUGUUUCAGGCAGGCUAGCGCCGGAAUACAUUAGCAUGGAAUAAUGGAAUAGGACUUUUGCCUCUUCUGUUGGUCAUGAGGCUCGAGUAAUGAUUAAUAGGGAUAGUUGGGGGCAUUAGUACUUAACUGUCAGAGGUGAAAUUCUCGGAUUUGUUAAAGACUAACUUCUGCGAAAGCAUUUGCCAAGGAUGUUUUCAUUAA
rnacentral:rRNA from 1 species